GCGUGAAUGAUGAAGGCCCUAGGGUUGUAAAGUUCUUUCACCUGUGAAGAUUAUGACGGUAGCAGGAGAAGAAGUUCCGGCUAACUCCGUGCCAGCAGCCGCGGUAAGACGGAGGGAGCUAGCGUUGUUCGGAAUGACUGGGCGUAAAGGGCGCGUAGGCGGUUUUUUAAGUGAGGCGUGAAAGCCCUGGGCUUAACCCAGGAGGUGCGCUUCAGACUGGAAGGCUUGAGGACGAGAGAGGAAAGUGGAAUUCCUAGUGUAGAGGUGAAAUUCGU
rnacentral:rRNA from 1 species